rnacentral:rRNA from 1 species
CAGAGAUUUCCGAAUGGGGAAACCCAGCAUGAGUUAUGUCAUGUUAUCGAUAUGUGAAUACAUAGCAUAUCAGAAGGCACACCCGGAGAACUGAAACAUCUUAGUACCCGGAGGAAGAGAAAGAAAAUUCGAUUCCCUUAGUAGCGGCGAGCGAAACGGGAAGAGCCCAAACCAACAAGCUUGCUUGUUGGGGUUGUAGGACACUCUAUACGGAGUUACAAAGGACGACAUUAGACGAAUCAUCUGGAAAGAUGAAUCAAAGAAGGUAAUAAUCCUGUAGUCGAAAAUGUUGUCUCUCUUGAGUGGAUCCUGAGUACGACGGAGCACGUGAAAUUCCGUCGGAAUCUGGGAGGACCAUCUCCUAAGGCUAAAUACUCUCUAGUGACCGAUAGUGAACCAGUACCGUGAGGGAAAGGUGAAAAGCACCCCGGAAGGGGAGUGAAAUAGAACCUGAAACCGUGUGCUUACAAGUAGUCAGAGCCCGUUAAUGGGUGAUGGCGUGCCUUUUGUAGAAUGAACCGGCGAGUUACGAUUUGAUGCAAGGUUAAGCAGUAAAUGUGGAGCCGUAGCGAAAGCGAGUCUGAAUAGGGCGUUUAGUAUUUGGUCGUAGACCCGAAACCAGGUGAUCUACCCUUGGUCAGGUUGAAGUUCAGGUAACACUGAAUGGAGGACCGAACCGACUUACGUUGAAAAGUGAGCGGAUGAACUGAGGGUAGCGGAGAAAUUCCAAUCGAACCUGGAGAUAGCUGGUUCUCUCCGAAAUAGCUUUAGGGCUAGCCUCAAGUGAUGAUUAUUGGAGGUAGAGCACUGUUUGGACGAGGGGCCCCUCUCGGGUUACCGAAUUCAGACAAACUCCGAAUGCCAAUUAAUUUAACUUGGGAGUCAGAACAUGGGUGAUAAGGUCCGUGUUCGAAAGGGAAACAGCCCAGACCACCAGCUAAGGUCCCAAAAUAUAUGUUAAGUGGAAAAGGAUGUGGCGUUGCCCAGACAACUAGGAUGUUGGCUUAGAAGCAGCCAUCAUUUAAAGAGUGCGUAAUAGCUCACUAGUCGAGUGACACUGCGCCGAAAAUGUACCGGGGCUAAACAUAUUACCGAAGCUGUGGAUUGUCCU